CUUGUUGGUGGGGUAAUGGCCUACCAAGGCUCCGAUCCGUAGCUGGUCUGAGAGGACGAUCAGCCACACUGGGACUGAGACACGGCCCAGACUCCUACGGGAGGCAGCAGUGGGGAAUCUUGCGCAAUGGGCGAAAGCCUGACGCAGCGACGCCGCGUGAGGGAGGAAGGCCUUCGGGUUGUAAACCUCUUUCAGGAGGGACGAAGCUACUCGGGUUAAUAGCCCAGAGGGUGACGGUACCUCCAGAAGAAGCCCCGGCUAACUACGUGCCAGCAGCCGCGGUAAUACGUAGGGGGCAAGCGUUGUCCGGAUUUACUGGGCGUAAAGAGCGUGUAGGCGGCCAAACAGGUCCGUUGUGAAAACUGGAGGCUUAACCUCCAGACGUCGACGGAAACCGUGUGGCUAGAGUCCGGAAGAGGAGAGUGGAAUUCCUGGUGUAGCGGUGAAAUGCGCAGAUAUCAGGAAGAACACCAAUGGCGAAGGCAGCUCUCUGGGACGGUACUGACGCUGAGACGCGAAAGCGUGGGGAGCGAACAGGAUUAGAUACCCUGGUAGUCCACGCCGUAAGCGAUGGGUGCUAGGUGUGGGAGGUGUCGACUCCUUCCGUGCCGUAGCUAACGCAUUAAGCACCCCGCCUGGGGAGUACGGCCGCAAGGCUAAAACUCAAAGGAAUUGACG
rnacentral:rRNA from 1 species